GAUGAACGCUGGCGGCGUGCCUAAUACAUGCAAGUCGAGCGAACAGACGAGGAGCUUGCUCCUCUGACGUUAGCGGCGGACGGGUGAGUAACACGUGGAUAACCUACCUAUAAGACUUGGAUAACUUCGGGAAACCGGAGCUAAUACCGGAUAAUAUAUUGAACCGCAUGGUUCAAUAGUGAAAGACGGUUUUGCUGUCACUUAUAGAUGGAUCCGCGCCGCAUUAGCUAGUUGGUAAGGUAACGGCUUACCAAGGCAACGAUGCGUAGCCGACCUGAGAGGGUGAUCGGCCACACUGGAACUGAGACACGGUCCAGACUCCUAAGGGAGGCAGCAGUAGGGAAUCUUCCGCAAUGGGCGAAAGCCUGACGGAGCAAAGACGCGUGAGUGAUGAAGGUCUUCGGAUCGUAAAACUCUGUUAGUAGGGAAGAACAAAUGUGUAAGUAACUAUGCACGUCUUGACGGUACCUAAUCAGAAAGCCACGGCUAAAUACGUG
rnacentral:rRNA from 1 species